AUGAAUCUGUGUCAUCUUUCAUUGAGUAAAAUGCCUGGUAUAGCAGAAUUAGAGUUGAAGCUCUCUGAGUAUACCAAAAAGAUGUCAUAUCUGCAACAGAUGGUUCAGGAGCUAGCCUCAAAGUAUGACUAUAAUCCGAACGAAGACUAUGCCGAGACAGAGCUGAAGUUGAGGGAACAUUGCAAUCGUUUAUCGGAACAGUAA
rnacentral:rRNA from 1 species